rnacentral:rRNA from 1 species
GAUGAACGCUGGCGGCGUGCCUAACACAUGCAAGUCGAGCGAACGGACGAGAAGCUUGCUUCUCUGAUGUUAGCGGCGCACGGGUGUGUAACACGUGUAUCACCUACCUAUAAGACUGGUAUAACCUCGGGAAACCGGAGCUAAUACCGGAUGAUAUUUUGAACCGCAUGGUUCAAAAGUGAAAGACGGCCUUGCUGUCACUUAUAGAUGCAUCUGGGCUGCAUUAGCUAGUUGGUAAGGUAACGGCUUACCAAGGCAACGAUGCAUAGCCGACCUCAGAGAGUGAUAGGCCGCAUUAGAGCUGAGACGGGGUCCAGGCUCCUAAGGGAGGCAGCAGUAGGGAAUCUUAGGCAGUAGGCGGAAGCCUGACGGAGCGACGCCGAGUGAGUGAUGAAGAUGUUCGGUUCGUAAAGCUGUGUUAUGAGGGAAGAACAUAUGUGUAAGUAGCUGAGGACAUCGUGACGGUACCUGAUCAGAAAGCCACGGCUAACUACGUG